rnacentral:rRNA from 2 species
AAAACGACUCUCGGCAACGGAUAUCUCGGCUCUCGCAUCGAUGAAGAACGUAGCGAAAUGCGAUACUUGGUGUGAAUUGCAGAAUCCCGUGAACCAUCGAGUCUUUGAACGCAAGUUGCGCCCGAAGCCUAAUGGCCGAGGGCACGUCUGCCUGGGCGUCACAC